AUUGAACGCUGGCGGCAGGCCUAACACAUGCAAGUCGAACGAGUGGCGGACGGGUGAGUAACGUCUGGGAAACUGCCAGAUGGACGGGGAUAACUACUGGAAAAGGUAGCUAAAACCGCAUACCAUCUGAUGUUCCCAGAUGGGAUCAGCUAGUAGGUUGGGGGACGGCUCACCUAGGCGACGAUCCCUCGCUGGUCUGAGAGGAUGACCAGCCACACUGGAACUGAGCCCCGGUCCAGACUCCUACGGGAGGCAGCAUUGGGGAUUAUUGCACAAUGGGCGCAAGCCUGAUGCAGCCAUGCCGCGUGUAUGAAGAAGGCCUUCGGGUUGUAAAGUACUUUCAGCGAGGAGGCGUUACUCGCAGAAUAAGCACCGGCUAACUCCGUGCCAGCAGCCGCGGUAAUAC
rnacentral:rRNA from 1 species